UGGGGAAUUUUGGACAAUGGGCGAAAGCCUGAUCCAGCAAUGCCGCGUGUGUGAAGAAGGCCUUCGGGUUGUAAAGCACUUUUGUCCGGAAAGAAAUCCUUGGCUCUAAUACAGUCGGGGGAUGACGGUACCGGAAGAAUAAGCACCGGCUAACUACGUGCCAGCAGCCGCGGUAAUACGUAGGGUGCAAGCGUUAAUCGGAAUUACUGGGCGUAAAGCGUGCGCAGGCGGUUUGCUAAGACCGAUGUGAAAUCCCCGGGCUCAACCUGGGAACUGCAUUGGUGACUGGCAGGCUAGAGUAUGGCAGAGGGGGGUAGAAUUCCACGUGUAGCAGUGAAAUGCGUAGAGAUGUGGAGGAAUACCGAUGGCGAAGGCAGCCCCCCUGGGCCAAUACUGACGCUCAUGCACGAAAGCGUGGGGAGCAAACAGGAUUAGAUACCCUGGUAGUCCACGCCCUAAACGAUGUCAACUAGUUGUUGGGGGAUUCAUUUCCUUAGUAACGUAGCUAACGCGUGAAGUUGACCGCCUGGGGAGUACGGUCGCAAGAUUAAAACUCAAAGGAAUUG
rnacentral:rRNA from 1 species